CCGGCCCAUUUCAUUAUCUUUUUCAACAAAAAACUAUAGAAACAAUAAUGCGUACACAAGAACAACACGUACAACUUUAACAGCGAAGACCGACACCGACCGUACAGCUCCGAUCCGACCCCUAUACAACCCUCAACCCAAUUUUUCUUACACUUUCCACCUAAAUUCUCUUCCCCUUUUGAUUUGUGCACUUCAUGAACCCUCACGAGGAUUCGUAUUAAGGAAGGGUCUCGAACCUUCUGGAAAAGCACUGAAACGUUCAAAAAUUCAUUUUUCUUGGGUGGAUCCGUACGAAUGCAUACAUAUUUCUGUGAAUUUCAUUGGUUCUUGGGGAUUAUUCUUUUUCCCCAAUAUCUAUUGGUUAAACCCAUUCAAUUUUCUUCAAGAAAUCAAAAAAGUCAGUACAAGAAUGAGGUUAUAAUCCCAUCCUCAUCUCAAUUUUAAAAAUAUCUCAGUUAAAAUAUUUCUAAACUACCUCCAAUUUUUCCCAUUCCGCAUUGAUUGAAACUCAAAUUGAACCCCUAAUUUCUUCUAUAUAAAACUCUCUUUGGAGCAAAAUUGCCCAAGUCUCAAAAGGGUUGGAAAGGCUUUUUGAGCAAAGAAUUAAUUUUUUUAGUAAAACUUUUUAGAAAGGCAGUCGAUUAAUCAAAGUUUUUCAAAAGAUUUCUUUCAGUGGUGGUAGAUUUUGAUGAAGCUCGAGUCCCAUUUUGCUGCUCCAGAAAAGCAGCAUUAUUGUCAUAAAAAGCAGUACAAGAUCAAGGGGAUUUUGAGGGUUUUAUAAGACCCUUUUGCAGAAGACUGUCAAUUUCUGUCUUACAGAAUUCUACUAACUCUGUAUUCAUUUGAUAGGGUCGAGAUUUUGUUGGAAUUUGUUCUUCACUGAAGUCAUUUUCAUAAGGAAGAGAAACAAUAUGUUUCUUUCGGUUCCAGAAAGCAUUUGGAUGAUCCGCACAAAUAUCAAGAAUCAAUUGAUUAGAAAUUAUUUUUAUUUUUUCUUGGACUUUCACUGAUUUUAAAGUAUAAAAAAUAUAAAUACUCAUUAGUUCUAAUUGUAAGAAAUUAAUUUUCUUUUGUUUCAUACUGAUAAGGGUAUUUAUAUCCCUUGUUAUAGGAUUAGUAACAAAAGGAUAAGAGAUUUGUUUAUUCU